AUAGCCCUAUUUUCAUGCUUUAAAAAUGUCCUGGCUUCAUCCUGCGCUCAUUUUGCUCCGUGCAGUUGUUGUCAUGGACAAGCCCAUCUUUCCAAGGCUUUCCAAUGCCUUUCCUGGAAACGUUUGCCAAGAGCUUCAUAUUUCCUAGAAAAUUCCUGCCAGGAAAGGAAACCUCUCAUCCCCUCGGCUGCUAACGAUAAAAGGGCACGGAGAGGUGGCAACAGCCACCGGGUAUGGCUGCAGGGACAGAAGGGAGCAGAGAAAAUGGGAUUUAGCCAGUUCCCACCAGCAUCACCGCAGCGUCUCCCCACAGCCCAGCCUGAUUCAUCUCGUUAGGAGUGACCUUUCUCGCCGUGAGUCACCGCGACGCCGUCUCAGCCCCAGGAUGCAGGACUGCAGCCACGCGCCAGCGCCUGGGAUGGGAUGCUGGUCACCGAGUGGGACACAAGCAGCCAGUCAAUCCCUGGGGAUCCUUCCCACUCCCUCUCUGAUGGUUGCUGCCACUGUGAUAGCCAGAUUCAAGUUUGCACUCCCAGAGCAUGGGGCUGUAGCCACUGGGCUCAAAGGCUGGGCAAGCACCCCAAGGACCUUGAGCCAAUGCAGUGCAGGAGGUCAGCACACGGACAGCUUCUGGAGAGGCAGGGAAGCAUCUCAGCUCCUGCGCACGGACACCAUUGUAGUGUGGAUAGAGCCGCACAACACCACCACAUGUAGAAUAAAGUCCAUUUAUUUCAUAGCAAGAGGCAGUGUAA